rnacentral:pre_miRNA from 1 species
CAUAAUUUUACACAGUCUACGUCCAAUGUUGAUCAUCCCUUUUAUUUAAAAAAUAAUAUUUAUUAUUAUUAUUAUUAUUGUUAUUAUUAUAAAACAUAAAUAAUACUUUAUGUAUAACUAAUUAUUUUAAAAUUUUUCAUAAAAUUUAUAAAUAAAAUGGACCAUCAAACGUUUGAUAUAAAAACCCACGGCUGUACUUAAA